GCCAGUGUGGUGUCAUGGUCUGAGCAUUGGACUAUGACUCUGGAGAUCAGGGUUCAAAUCCCUGUUCAGCCA
rnacentral:tRNA from 1 species